CCCUUAGAUGUUCUGGGCCGCACGCGUGCUACACUGAGUGGAUCAGCGGGUCAGGUUACGCGAGAGCGUUUCCUAAUCUUCAAAUCCGCUCGUGAUGGGGAUUGACGGUUGCAAUUUUCCGUCAUGAACGAGGAAUACCUUGUAAGCGCGGGUCAUCAUCCCGCGCUGAAUACGUCCCUGCCCUUUGUACACACCGCCCGUCGCUCCUACCGAUUGAGUGGUCCGGUGAGGCUUUGGGAUCUAAGCGAAAAGAGCGUUUCGCUCCUUUUGCUGGGAGAACUCAAUCGAACCUUAUCAUUUAGAGGAAGGAGAAGUCGUAACA
rnacentral:rRNA from 1 species